AGGAGCAACAGCCCUAGUGGCGGGGCAGCUCUGGAAACCUGGAUUCAGCCCCCGCAGGAACUCCGUCUGCAGGGCCUGGAGGCUCCGGGGCGGA
rnacentral:pre_miRNA from 1 species